GCUGGUGUAGCUUAGUGGUAUAGUCCUUGUUUCACACGCGAGAGGUCGGUGGUUUGGUUCCACCCAUCACCA
rfam:Pythium ultimum DAOM BR144 ctg_1117875579243, whole genome shotgun sequence.